GCACACAGGUAGAGACGCCGCCGGCCGGGGCAGAAUUCCCUGCGACUGCACGGAUUACCAUACACGCCCGGACCAUCGGCAAAAGUAUAACGCACACUGGAGGAACAGGAUCUGAACAGGAAUACAGACCACAAAAGCUCCUAGGGAAUUCUGGAUAUGAAAACUUGAUCAAGGCGUGAUCAAGCAGAAAUAACCCGCGAAAUGAAGCCGUCGCUGCUCCCCUGUCCCCAGAGCCGUGGUGAAUUUUUUCUUCAUGUCCUGUAUGUCUGACCCUGUAUUGUGAUGCCAAAAUAAAGAAUCUACACUAUGUCUGGAAGUUUCCUCCCGCAUUAUGCCCUAGGCAUAGAAUUUACAGUCUGUGGUAAUAAAGUGUCCGCUAUUUUUGACAUGUGUCAGGACUAUGUAGACUAAUCCAGUUGUGUCAGAGAAGAUGAAAGAAGCAGACAUUUUUAAAAGCUAUUGUAACAUGCAGGAACCACAAAGGAGUCCCCAGCAUUUUUGUUCACCCUAAUGCUCAUGUAAAAAAGCUUUACUUUAAAAAAAAACUAAAA